rnacentral:rRNA from 1 species
CCAGACUCCUACGGGAGGCAGCAGUGGGGAAUAUUGCACAAUGGGGGAAACCCUGAUGCAGCGACGCCGCGUGAGUGAAGAAGUAUUUCGGUACGUAAAGCUCUAUCAGCAGGGAAGAAAAUGACGGUACCUGACUAAGAAGCCCCGGCUAACUACGUGCCAGCAGCCGCGGUAAUACGUAGGGGGCAAGCGUUAUCCGGAUUUACUGGGUGUAAAGGGAGCGUAGACGGCAGCGCAAGUCUGGAGUGAAAUCCCAUGGCUUAACCAUGGAACUGCUUUGGAAACUGUAUGGCUAGAGUGCUGGAGAGGUAAGCGGAAUUCCUAGUGUAGCGGUGAAAUGCGUAGAUAUUAGGAGGAACACCAGUGGCGAAGGCGGCUUACUGGACAUUAACUGACGCUGAGGCACGAAGGCCUGGGGAGCGAAAGGGAUUAGAUACCCGUGUA